rnacentral:rRNA from 1 species
UUACCCACUCCCGGCACGGGGAGGUAGUGACGAAAAAUAACGAUACGGGACUCAUCCGAGGCCCCGUAAUCGGAAUGAGUACACUCUAAACCCUUUAACGAGGAUCAAUUGGAGGGCAAGUCUGGUGCCAGCAGCCGCGGUAAUUCCAGCUCCAAUAGCGUAUAUUAAAGUUGUUGCGGUUAAAAAGCUCGUAGUCGAAUUUGUGUCCCGCGCCGCCGGUUCAUCGUCCGCGGUGUUAACUAGCGUGUCGCGGGACGUCCUGCCGGUGGGCUAGCUAGCUGUGCGCGCGCUCCCUUUUUAACCGAAGGUGUGUGUGUGUGCAGUGCAGUGACGCCCAACUCAAUCCUGCCGCGGUGCUCUUAGCUGAGUGUCGAGGUGGGCCGGCACGUUUACUUUGAACAAAUUAGAGUGCUUAAAGCAGGCUAAAACUUUGCCUGAAUACUGUGUGCAUGGAAUAAUAGAAUAGGACCUCGGUUCUAUUUUGUUGGUUUUCGGAACCCCGAGGUAAUGAUUAAUAGGAACGGAUGGGGGCAUUCGUAUUGCGACGUUAGAGGUGAAAUUCUUGGAUCGUCGCAAGACGGACAGAAGCGAAAGCAUUUGCCAAAAACGUUUUCAUUGAUCAAGAACGAAAGUUAGAGGUUCGAAGGCGAUCAGAUACCGCCCUAGUUCUAACCAUAAACGAUGCCAGCUAGCGAUCCGUCGACGUUCCUCCGAUGACUCGACGGGCAGCUUACGGGAAACCAAAGCUUUUGGGUUCCGGGGGAAGUAUGGUUGCAAAGCUGAAACUUAAAGGAAUUGACGGAAGGGCACCACCAGGAGUGGAGCCUGCGGCUUAAUUUGNNUCAACACGGGAAACCUCACCAGGCCCGGACACCGGAAGGAUUGANANAUUGAGAGCUCUUUCUUGAUUCGGUGGGUGGUGGUGCAUGG